rnacentral:rRNA from 1 species
UACGUAGGGCGCAAGCGUUAUCCGGAAUUAUUGGGCGUAAAGGGUAGGUAGGUGGUCUCAUUUGUCUGGGGUGAAAGCCUUGAGCUUAACUCAAGAAGUGCCCCAGAAACGGUGAGACUGGAGUCUUGGAGAGGGUCGUGGAAUUCCCGGUGUAGCGGUGAAAUGCGUAGAGAUCGGGAGGACACCAGAGGCGAAGGCGGCGACCUGGACAAGCACUGACACUCAACUACGAAAGCGUGGGGAGCAAACAGG